rnacentral:rRNA from 1 species
AGUGAACGCUGGCGGUAGGCCUAACACAUGCAAGUCGAACGGCAGCACAGUAAGAGCUUGCUCUUACGGGUGGCGAGUGGCGGACGGGUGAGGAAUACAUCGGAAUCUACUUUUUCGUGGGGGAUAACGUAGGGAAACUUACGCUACUACCGCAUACGACCUACGGGUGAAAGCAGGGGAUCUUCGGACCUUGCGCGAUUGAAUGAGCCGAUGUCGGAUUAGCUAGUUGGCGGGGUAAAGGCCCACCAAGGCGACGAUCCGUAGCUGGUCUGAGAGGAUGAUCAGCCACACUGGAACUGAGACACGGUCCAGACUCCUACGGGAGGCAGCAGUGGGGAAUAUUGGACAAUGGGCGCAAGCCUGAUCCAGCCAUACCGCGUGGGUGAAGAAGGUCUUCGGGUUGUAAAGCCCUUUUGUUGGGAAAGAAAAGCAGCAGGUUAAUACCCCGCUGUUCUGACGGUACCCAAAGAAUAAGCACCGGCUAACUUCGUG